rnacentral:rRNA from 1 species
UAGGGAAUAUUGCAAAAUGGGCGAAAGCCCGAAGCAGCAACGCCGCGUGGGCGAUGAAGGCCUUCGGGUCGUAAAGCCCUUUUUGAGGGGAUGAGGAAGGACAGUACCCUCAGAAUAAGCCUCGGCUAACUACGUGCCAGCAGCCGCGGUAAAACGUAGGAGGCGAGCGUUAUCCGGAUUUACUGGGCGUAAAGCGCGUGCAGGCGGAUUGGAGAGUUGGAUGUGAAAGCUCCCGGCUUAACUGGGAGAGGUCGUUCAAUACUUCCAGNCUUGAGUGCAGUAGAGGGAAGUNGNAUUCCGGGUNUAGUGGUGAAAUGCGUAGAUAUCCGGAGGAACACNNGUGGCGAAANCNGCNNCCUGGNCUGNAACUGACGCU